UUUUUUGGGGAACCUCAAAACCUGAUAUAUAAACAAAAUAGUACAAAAUAUCACUUCACCACUCUCACCCUCUCACUAGAGUAAGGCUGAACCUCAAAAUUCAAUAUAUCUAGCACAAGUAUGAAGUGCUAUCUUUCCUUUUGGAUCACGUUGAUGGAAACACAGAAUAGACCAACAAGUGGCUGCACCUAUUAUCAAGAUCUACUCAAAUUCCAACCCACAAUAGAUUGGACGCAGUUGUGACUAGAUGGUGACAAGAACUCAAAACUCUAAAGGACUAAACUAAAACCAGCACUGGACACGACCGAAGCAAACACUCAUUCAACCAGCCCUAACUAAGUAGUACUAGCCACGGCACAAAGGAUUUAUAGGAUUAUGGAAAACAAAUCUGCUAUAUUUUUUGUCUUUUUUUUGGACUAUAGGAAAAACAAACACGAAGAAUUGGAAAUCUCUCACCGAUAAACCUUACUCUGAUUACCAACUGAUGUGAACCCACUAGGGUUUUCGCCUGAUCUUUCGAUGAGAGGCGCUGGAUAACUUGAUUAGUGAAUGGAGAUGACGUUCACGGCCCGACUACAGCCCUCAAGACUACGCCUUAGCAACCGAUACACCGCCUCCAAUGGCUGUCACGAUCUUGUGGAGCGCAACACCCGGCCACUAGGGCACUCGUCCUGCAAGCAAUCGAAGAACCAGCAAGAACAAGUAGAACAAGUACUAAAUUACUAGAUGUAAAUGAAGGUUUCAAACUCAAUCUCUAAUGAAGUGGGGUUUCGAAAACAAGAAGACGGGCGGCUGGAUCAGCACGCGCGUUUACAAGCAAGUAGCGAAGGCUAAACUUUAUCUAAUCAAAACCCAGUUG
rnacentral:lncRNA from 1 species